rnacentral:rRNA from 1 species
UACGUAGGGGGCAAGCGUUGUCCGGAAUUAUUGGGCGUAAAGCGCGUGUAGGCGGCUCGGUAAGUCUGCUGUGAAAGUCCAAGGCUCAACCUUGGAAAGCCGGUGGAUACUGUCGAGCUCGAGUCCGGAAGAGGCGAGUGGAAUUCCGUGGUGUAGCGGUGAAAUGCGCAGAUAUCAGGAGGAACACCAAUGGCGAAGGCAGCUCGCUGGGACGGUACUGACGCUGAGACGCGAAAGCGUGGGGAGCAAACAGG